rnacentral:misc_RNA from 1 species
AACCAUUCUCACCUGCGGCUAGACCUGCGGAAGGAUCAUUAACAAUUAUCCAAAACUAUGGAUAAUUUAUCCAUAUCCACCUUGUGUGAACCAUUGAUUGUUGUCGUUGGCAGGUAGUCUGGUGUGAUCAUUCACACUGGCGGAGGGGUUUGCAAAAACAAACCUCAGCCUGCCAACCUUUUUUGUCUAAUCGCGUUAAACUGUACUUAGUCUGAAACAUGUUAGUUUAAUAACAAAUUA